AUAUCAUUGCCUGCAGGUGGGAUCUGUUGCAGUAUUCAAUGAAUAAGUAUCAAUCUCUUCUCUGCGGUUCUGGGGAAGCGGUUGUAUGUCUGGGUCCUGGGCCAAGUAGAUUGAUCGUUUGUUUGAUAUUCCCGCUAGAAUAUUUUCCAAGAAGGAAUCCGGGGAUGUCCAUGAUUCGAGUGAUAUUGGCGCUCCACUUUCAUAUGGGAUCUCUUUCGUAUUGGAUGUGGAUGGGUCUAGAGAAUGGCAUGGCCUGUACUUGUUGUGAGGAAGCCCACCUGUUGCGAAGAAUAGGAUCCAUCCCGUUGCCAAAGAAGAGGUUGCUUGUCAAAGAAGAGGCUGGUAUCGGCUUUCCCUAGUGCUCCCUGGCAAUAUUUCCACAAGAUGCCCGUAUACAGAUUUGAAAGAAUUUCAUGAAUGAGAUCAUUUCUGUUGCGAGGAAUGCCAUUGGCAGUCAACUCUUGACUCGUAUCUUGAGAAUGGACGCUGGCCUAAACCCCUCUUUGGAGUAGGCCUACCUUUCUAAGGCUGUCUACAACAAUGUCCUCUAAAUUUCGUUCUCUAAAAGAAUAUUCUCUGUCCUUUACAGCACUCCCUAAAAAAUUUCGUCCUCUAUAUAUUCUCAAUCUCCAGCAACGUUCUCUAAAUUCGGUCCUCUAUAUCUACAGUGUUGACAGAAUUUAGAAACUAUCAUAUUUAUUCUAUCUUUUGCAUAUAAUUUGAAUUUGUCCUAAUGUACUUAAUUCAAAAAACCUAAUUAACAUUUUGCGCUACGUCACUUUUUUAGCAUAUAUAUUAAUUAAAAAACUAAUAACGAGCUGUAUGUUCAUGUUUUUUUGGCUGUUUUCGUUUGCUUGUCCUCCACCUAGCCUUUUUCUUUGGCCGAACACGCUACAGCCUACAACACCAGACCAAGCUGUCGCUCCUCGAUUCCAUUCAUGGCCGCCGCCGCCGCUCCUCAGAUCUCUGUCCAUGGCUAGCGCCACCUCCACUCGGUCGUCUGCUACAAACGCCACUGCCUCUCUUCCCAACAACGACUCCUUUCUCCAACCAAGCCCAAGAAAUCGAUGCUCGCGUUUGGCCGGAUGAAGCGACUCCGUGCGCUGCUGGUCGACGGCGGCGUGCUCCAUGGUCAUCGCCGCCGCCGCCGCCGCCACCUCCCAAGUCCGUGCUCGAUUUCACAGGAAGGACAGAUAGCGGACGCACAGUGAAUCGCUGAGAAUAGCGUGUACGAACAUCGUCCGGUACUUUAGCGACUGGUUUAGCCUUCGUUGCUGGAGGAUGUAGCGGACGCUUGGAUCGCUAAAUUUAGCGUACAGGAGUGUAUAGAGUUUGUUGUUGAAGACAACCUAAUCUAACAAGUGAAUACUAAAUACUUACUAAACUAAACUAAACAAAGUAGUAGAUUUCUUCCGUCACAGCUCUGCAGCUGUCCCUCACCAAUGUCAAAGAUAGGCCACGGAUUACAUUCAAGGGAUAUCUUGCU
rnacentral:lncRNA from 1 species